GGCCUCUGAUAUAUUGGGAGGCUUCCCCUCCAGCAGGAAAAUCCCUGGAGGGGCUCUGAGGCCGCCUUUGCUUCUCCCUCACCCCCAAAAACCUGCAGCUUGUUUAGACUUCUGAGUCCUGCAAAAUAGUUCCACAGAAGCUGGAUUUGUGGUCUUCUCCAAAGUCUCUCACCUGGAGCAUGCACCAAUAUGUUGCCAGAAGAGGAGGAAUAGGCAGAGGAGCCCUAUA